rnacentral:lncRNA from 1 species
UGGAGUACAAAGAGGUAUGAACGAUGAAAGUGUUUUAGAUGAUCAUCUAAAUGAAGAUAUGGAUGACCAAAUUUAAAUGAGUUGUUGGAGGUGUUCUUAGACAUGUCAUUUUCUAUGCCGUAAAGGACACUGGACCCACCUUCAGUCCACUAUAUUUCUGUAUCGCCCGAAAUACCCCUAUCUCAACAUGUCUGACACGUGGGCCUGUCUUCCCUUUCUUCUUUCUUCUCCUCGACAGACUUGAGCCCCGAUGCCGCCGGCCAGCUACGUCGCUCCGUCAUCCCCUUCCCACGCUUCGAGGUGUUCUUAGACAUGUCAUUUUCUAUGCCGUAAAGGACACUGGACCCACCUUCAGUCCACUAUAUUUCUGUAUCGCCCGAAAUACCCCUAUCUCAACAUGUCUGACACGUGGGCCUGUCUUCCCUUUCUUCUUUCUUCUCCUCGACAGACUUGAGCCCCGAUGCCGCCGGCCAGCUACGUCGCUCCGUCAUCCCCUUCCCACGCUUCGACACACUUUCCUCUCUUCUUCGACCACUCAGCGCACGCCCCACGCCCCACACUUUCCUCUCUUCUCCGACGCCUCGAUGUAGUACAGGCGCAGGACGAAGCUCUCAUCGCUCGUCAAGACGUUGACAUGCCGCUCGCCGAUCGACGGGGUGAACGCCUUGUCGAGGGAGACGCGGUACGACGGCGGACGGGCAGAACACGGAGCGGUCGUGGUUCGGCCUGGCUCCGGCGGCGAGCUCCCCUGAUGUAUAAUCUUGUAGCUAACUUGUUUUUGCUUUAGUCAAAUAAGUAAGCUUGACUUGGCUGUGUUCGCAAGAAAGUUUCAGAACGUACUAGUAGAAUUAGUCCGUCAGUCUUAGUUUUGUUUCUGUUUUUCGGUGAUUAAGUCGUAGCUGAAGUUCUGCGAGGAUCGACCGUGGGAUGGCGCGGUCCAGUCAGAUCUGAGUGGGAUUUUUGGAAGUUUUCAGCGUCGUCGCCGCUCGAGGACUUGCUCGGGUGAGGCCGCGGGCUCGGGCGCUCGUGGUCGCUGGCGCCGGAGCUGCUGGAUCCCUCGCCGGCGAGCUCGGGACUCCUCCCAAAAGCACGCGCCGACAGCCGCCGCCGUGGACUCGGGGCCAGGCGAGGAGACGAGGCUAGGCUGUGGGGGGGGGCCCACGCAGCAGUGAGCCGUAGACCGGGAUAUUUUAGGCAAUACGAAAUUAGAUUGACCUAUACGUUGGUCCAAUAGUCUGCAGGCCGUAUAAAAUGGCAUAACUAUAAUAAAGGAAAAUUUGUAAUAGCA